GAUGAACGCUGGCGGCGUGCCUAAUACAUGCAAGUCGAGCGAACGGACGAGAAGCUUGCUUCUCUGAUGUUAGCGGCGGACGGGUGAGUAACACGUGGAUAACCUACCUAUAAGACUGGGAUAACUUCGGGAAACCGGAGCUAAUACCGGAUAAUAUUUUGAACCGCAUGGUUCAAAAGUGGAAGACGGUCUUGCUGUCACUUAUAGAUGGAUCCGCGCUGCAUUAGCUAGUUGGUAAGGUAACGGCUUACCAAGGCAACGAUGCAUAGCCGACCUGAGAGGGUGAUCGGCCACACUGGAACUGAGACACGGUCCAGACUCCUACGGGAGGCAGCAGUAGGGAAUCUUCCGCAAUGGGCGAAAGCCUGACGGAGCAACGCCGCGUGAGUGAUGAAGGUCUUCGGAUCGUAAAACUCUGUUAUUAGGGAAGAACAUAUGUGUAAGUAACUGUGCACAUCUUGACGGUACCUAAUCAGAAAGCCACGGCUAACUACGUGCCAGCAGCCGCGGUAAUACGUAGGUGGCAAGCGUUAUCCGGAAUUAUUGGGCGUAAAGCGCGCGUAGGCGGUUUUUUAAGUCUGAUGUGAAAGCCCACGGCUCAACCGUGGAGGGUCAUUGGAAACUGGAAAACUUGAGUGCAGAAGAGGAAAGUGGAAUUCCAUGUGUAGCGGUGAAAUGCGCAGAGAUAUGGAGGAACACCAGUGGCGAAGGCGACUUUCUGGUCUGUAACUGACGCUGAUGUGCGAAAGCGUGGGGAUCAAACAGGAUUAGAUACCCUGGUAGUCCACGCCGUAAACGAUGAGUGCUAAGUGUUAGGGGGUUUCCGCCCCUUAGUGCUGCAGCUAACGCAUUAAGCACUCCGCCUGGGGAGUACGACCGCAAGGUUGAAACUCAAAGGAAUUGACGGGGACCCGCACAAGCGGUGGAGCAUGUGGUUUAAUUCGAAGCAACGCGAAGAACCUUACCAAAUCAUGACAUCCUUUGACAACUCUAGAGAUAGAGCCUUCCCCUUCGGGGGACAAAGUGACAGGUGGUGCAUGGUUGUCGUCAGCUCGUGUCGUGAGAUGUUGGGUUAAGUCCCGCAACGAGCGCAACCCUUAAGCUUAGUUGCCAUCAUUAAGUUGGGCACUCUAAGUUGACUGCCGGUGACAAACCGGAGGAAGGUGGGGAUGACGUCAAAUCAUCAUGCCCCUUAUGAUUUGGGCUACACACGUGCUACAAUGGACAAUACAAAGGGCAGCGAAACCGCGAGGUCAAGCAAAUCCCAUAAAGUUGUUCUCAGUUCGGAUUGUAGUCUGCAACUCGACUACAUGAAGCUGGAAUCGCUAGUAAUCGUAGAUCAGCAUGCUACGGUGAAUACGCUCCCGGGUCU
rnacentral:rRNA from 1 species